UUUUAUUUCUUUAUUAUUAAUAAAUGGUUUCAGUAAUUUCCUACUUUUUUUGGUAUUUAUUUCCGUGUACAAUAACUUUUAAACCUGUGUUCAGUCAAUUGACUCUAACAGUACAUCAACAUAUUAGUUGAAAAUGCGUUAAAUGUCUUAAAAAUUAGUCUCAUAAUUUACUCAUUACACACAUUAUCAUCAUACAUAUAUGUAAAUUCUCUUUCUUUUACCAUCACCAUAACCAUCAUCAUGGUCCAAAGGCAGGGGAAGAUGAAGAAGCAAAAAUUUGGAAGCAAAGUAAACUGAAAAAAAGACUUACGGGAAAAAUUAUUGGUUCCUCUGUAUCCCAAAAGUAGCAGAGACUCUAAUGUUAUUCCAUUUUUGAAGACAGGCAAAAAAGGAACCAAAGAUUUAUAGGCUACAACCUAUACACAUCAUCAAGUUGAAAAUGAUUGUUGAAUGUUUCAAUUCACAUUGACCUGACAAUGAUAAGUAUAGCCUAUUAACAAAAGACAAGUAGCAUCACUAUCAUCAUCAAUGACAAGCCAGGAGAAGGAGAAAAACUCAAAAAAAUCGCAAUGUUUGACAAGGAACAUCAACAAUUCUAAAGUUGCCGUGUUAACUAGUUAUUCAGCCAUUUCCACGAUACCAAAAGAUAAAAGGCUCAAGCAAUAAACACGAAUCAGCUGAAUCAUGUCUUUAGGAAUUUUUGAAUCAUGUCUCUCUGUUGGUUACUUGGUUUUUCAUGUUUUAUUAGCAUUGUUUAAUGGAUUGAAAGUUUUCCGUGUAAUACAUUUCAAAAUAUAUAUAUCAAGGUACACAGAUAAAAGGCUUUGGAAAUGAAAAGGCAGAUAGUUGUUCAAUACAAAAUGGGAAGAUUGACAAUGAAAAAGUUGAAAGUUGUAUUAUCCUGAAAAGACAUGAAGAGACAAAAUGAAACGUUGUUUGGUUACAAACUAUCCAUGUUGACACAAUUUUAUCCUGAUUUUUACAUGUUUUUAAACAAUUUCCACGUAAACAAACCUAUCGACUUGUUUACAGAUGAAAUGUUGAACUAAACCAGGGGAAAGAAGCCAAAAAAUUUAGUUCCAAGGAGAAAUCGUCCAAAAAAAACAUGAACAACAUCGAUACGCUUAAACACAUCUACAACAGCAGAAAAAACAACAACGAAACAUUUGUUCACCAUGUUUACUUAAAGACAACAUAAUUUUAUCUGUAACGUCAAAGGAAUCAAAGUAAUUUAACAAGAAAUAAAAUUUGUUGCCCCAUUUUAAUGGACCUGAUUUUUGGAGCCAUUAAACCCAUGGAAUUGGAUUCAUUGUUUCACCAUGACAAUUAAUUUACUACAAGUCGUAUGACUUUCCUACAUUGGUAAUAAAAUUCAAGAGCAAUACAUUAAAUCACAAUCAGCAAUGUUGGAGACUGUUUCAACCGCAAAAUACAUUUCAAUGCAACUUUCACUUUUCUUUCUACUUUAUUGUCAACUUUAAUUGAGAAAUAUAUUUCAACCUUUUCAUUCAAUUUACAGUCAUUCAGUGAAUGAGUAAAAUUUAGCACCAAAAAAGAGGAAGCAAAACCAUUGAAUUCAUGUAGAUACAAGUUAAUCCGAAAACUGUUUUCUCUAUUAUCAUAAUGAGCUUGUUCAAAAUGCUACUUUUAUCAUCAAAUUGAGUCGGAGAACCACAAUUACUCUUAGUUUCAUUACAAGAGUUUUAUUAAUAUACACAAAUCCAA